rnacentral:rRNA from 1 species
AGAGUUUGAUCCUGGCUCAGGAUGAACGCUGGCGGCAUGCCUAACACAUGCAAGUCGAACGGAGCAUAUGAGCGCUUAGGAGUUAGUGGUUAGCGGAUAGGUUUUACCUAAUUACUAGCCACUAUGCCCUAACCCUAUGCUUAGUGGCGAACGGGUGAGUAACACGUUGGUACCUACCUCAGAGUGGGGGAUAACCAGGGGAAACUCUGGCUAAUACCCCAUAGUCUACGGCUCGUCCGUAGUAAAGGUUUACUGCUCUGAGAGGGGCCUGCGGUCCAUUAGCUUGUUGGUGGGGUAAAAGCCUACCAAGGCGAUGAUGGAUAGCUGGAUCGAGAGGUUGACCAGCCACACUGGGACUGAGACACGGCCCAGACUCCUACGGGAGGCAGCAGUGAGGAAUCUUCCACAAUGGACGAAAGUCUGAUGGAGCAAUGCCGCGUGCGGGAAGACGGCCUUCGGGUUGUAAACCGCUUUUCUGAGGGAAGAAAUUUUGACGGUACCUCAGGAAUAAGCAUCGGCUAACUACGUGCCAGCAGCCGCGGUAAUACGUAGGAUGCAAGCGUUAUCCGGAAUUAUUGGGCGUAAAGCGUGUGUAGGUGUCCGGUCGCGUCCGCCGUAAAAUCUCCAGGCUCAACUUGGAACUCGCGGUGGAUACGGAUCGGAUAGAGGUCGGAAGAGGCAGAUGGAAUUCCCGGUGGAGCAGUGAAAUGCGUAGAUAUCGGGAGGAACACCAAUGGCGAAGGCAGUCUGCUGGGCCGAACCUGACACUGAGACACGAAAGCGUGGGUAGCGAACGGGAUUAGAUACCCCGGUAGUCCACGCCUUAAACGAUGCCGGACUAGGUAUUGGGAGUAUCGACCCUUCCAGUAUCGAAGCUAACGCGUUAAGUCGGCCGCCUGGGGAGUACGAGCGCAAGCUUAAAACUCAAAGGAAUUGACGGGGGGAGCGCACAAGAGGAGGAGCAUGUGGUUUAAUUUGACGCUACGCGAAGAACCUUACCCACUCUUGACAUCCCGAGAACCCCCUAGAGAUAGGGGGGUGCCCGGAAGGGAACUCGGUGACAGGUGUUGCAUGGCCGUCGUCAGCUCGUGUCGUGAGAUGCUGGGUUAAGUCCCGCAACGAGCGCAACCCUUAUCGUCUGUUGGAUUUUUCAGGCGAGACUGCCGGCGACAAGCUGGAGGAAGGUGGGGAUGACGUCAGGUCAGCAUGGCCCUUACGAGUGGGGCUACACACGUGCUACAAUGGCCGCCACAACGAGUCGCGAAGCCGCGAGGCCAAGCUAAUCUCCCAAAAGCGGUCCCAGUUCGGAUAAGAGGCUGCAACUCGCCUCUUUGAAGUAGGAUUCUCUAGUAACCGUGGGUCAGCAUACCGCGGUGAAUACGUUCUCGCUCCUUGUACACACCGCCCGU